UGGAGUCCUAUGGCAUCCACGAGACCACCUUCAACUCCAUCACGAAGUGUGUUAUGGACAUCCGCAAGAACCUAUAUGCC
rnacentral:pre_miRNA from 1 species